rnacentral:lncRNA from 13 species
UAACCACAGGAGGGAAGUAGUCAGUGCAUCUGCAUGCUGGGAUUAAUUUCUCAUGAUGCAUAUGCUUUUCCUUACAGGUGGCCCACAGCAUUUUUAUGUGAAAUGCCUGGAUGUGUGUUUCUGCUUUCUAUGUAAUAUUACUGAAUGGAGUACUGCCUGGUUGUGUGGGCCUUUCUGAAGAAUCACCUAACCUUUCCUUCAGUUCCUUCGAAGUAGAGACCUUGCUUCGACCUGCAGGCUGCUGUGAGAGAGUGAAAUAAAAUUCAUUUCCAGCUCCAGAUGAAGGGUUAAGGAUAGUUCAAGGCUUCUGCUGGGAGGUCUGAGAUCUACAAAAGAGAAAAGGAUGAGACAGGAGCUAGAGACCUAGGUAAAACUCCAACUGGUGCACCCUGGAUUAAUCUUCCAGCUUUAGAGAGAGAUCCUCCAGGGGGAGGUAAUGAGGUUUUGUCUGUGGACUCUGAGCUGGCUCUGGACAAAAUGUGAAGUUUAAUCACUAAAUAUGGAUCAAAUUAUUUCCCUCUGCCCAGCACUGCCUGGAGUGUGAGGAAAGGAAGAGAAACCCUACAGUCCCGUGCAAUCGCUAUUUUUGUUCCUGUUUAACGGAUGGCAAAACUGACGUUAAAUGCCUUGCCUGCACUGCAAAUAAAUGCAUUAGUGCCUGGGGACCCAGACAUGAGGAUGAAAAGACCCCGAAUAACCCAUGUUCUACAGAGAGAAGCCAAAAGAUGCACCUAUUUCCCAGCUUGGUCUUCCUGGUCUGUGGUUGCCAUCCCAGGUGUCACCGUCUCUCUCCACUCUACCUUCUGGUUCAUUGUUCAUCAUUCUAAGGAAUGAGAACAUGAAGAGGUGAGAGAGUCAUCACUAUCAUGAACCUGGGGUGUGAAGUGCUGGUUUCCUGCCAUCCCUGAAAAAAAUACAUAGUUUGCAUUUGUAUCCACCCCCAACAGUUGAGCUGCCAACCCCCUUCAGUUAGACACUUGUACCAGGAAAAAGGGGUAAUGAGAAUAAAAGACAAGAGCAAUUUGAGUUU